rnacentral:lncRNA from 1 species
AUGGAGCUGUUCAUGAAUUGCCUGAACUGUCCCCCAAGGGAACUGCUUUGUCGGAUUGGACUUCUGGUCUCAUGUGAUGGGGAAGAAACUGUGAGUAGAUGGUUACUUCUGAAGCCACCUGAAGAGCUGGCGUUCUUAUCGCUUGCCUGUGAAAGCCUGAGACAGACAGACAGAUAAGGAGCCUAGACUUCUCCAGGUAGAAUUUGGCCAGAUCACACUGAAAGAUGUGCAGACUGAUGCGCUCUAUCUGGAUGAUACGGCAGUUAUGCUAGUCUCUGACCUGGUGCAUCUGUCUUUGGAAUUCUCUUGCUGAAAAGCCCAAUCAAAUUUUCUUAUCCUCUUAAGGAUCUAUACAAGCAUGAAGGCCAAUGGCCAGCCCCUUCUUCCUGAUAACUCCAUGCCCAGUGCAGAGUAAAGUAAGAGUUCACCUGCUGGGAAGGUCUGCCUAGAAGAGCUGUUUCUUGGCCUCUCCAUUUUGUACAGUUCUUUUCCAAAAUGUUGCACUGUGAAUCCACCACCGUGCUAUCAGCUCCCACAGUGAUGUGUCAGAUGGGUCAUUUUUCUGGCCAAGGAGUAGCCUUGGUAGUGUGAGGGCCCUGUGGGUUCGAGGGGUGAUGGGAUAUUCACUGAGACUUAAGCAGAAUAUGUACACAUGUGCAUAUAUGUAUUUGAUCAUAUAGAAUCAUUAAGAUUGGAAAGCCCUCUAAGAUCAUCUGGUCCAACUGUCCACCUAUCAUCAAUAUUUCCCACUAUAUUAUGUCCCUGAGAACCACAUAUAGAUGCUUCUUGAACACCACAGGAAACAGAAAACAGAGUCCACAUUUUUGUAUACAAAGGGGUGAAAACUCCCAGUGAGAGCUGAAGGAGAGAGCUCCAGGACAAAUGUUGGUUGGCUCCUGCUUAGGGACUGUCCGUCUUUACACCUGGAAAAAAAAGAGAUUUAAAUUACCUAGAACCUAUUGGUAGAUAAGGAGCCUACUUCAAUAGGAAAAAGAAGCCAUUAUCCAUAGCAGAGUUAGCUUAUGAGAAUGAAAAAAGAGCAUUUGGAGAAAAUAUCUUCCCAUUAAAUAUGAAGUUAAGAGCUUGGCUUAGGUUCAGA